rfam:Fibrobacter sp. TWP2 genome assembly, contig: Ga0136289_124
UCGGAUGUAGCUUAAUUGGUUAAAGCGCGGCUAUACCCGAAUAUCGGUUCGACUCCGAUGAAAGAAGGUGUUAAACGGUUACACGCGGGAAGAAGGUGCCGAAGGUUGCGGGUUCGACUCCCGCCAUCCGAG